rfam:Hordeum vulgare subsp. vulgare, WGS project CAJW01000000 data, contig: morex_contig_1704851
UACGUGCUCCCUCCGUCCGGAAAUACUUGUCUUAGAAAUGGACGAAUCUAGACUUAUUUUAGUUAUAGAUACAUCUAUUAUAUCCAUUUUUAGGACAAAUAUUUUCGGACGAAGGGAGUAUAAA